rnacentral:rRNA from 1 species
UUUCGCAAUGCCCGAAAGGGUGACGAAGCGACGCCGCGUGUGGGAAGAAGGCCUUCGGGUUGUAAACCACUGUCGGGAGUUAGGAAAUGCAGGUGCGUUAAUAGCGCACUUGCUUGACUAAGGCUCCAGAGGAAGCCACGGCUAACUCUGUGCCAGCAGCCGCGGUAAUACAGAGGCGGCAAGCGUUGUUCGGAAUUAUUGGGCGUAAGGAGCACGUAGGCGGCCUUGCAAGUCAGUUAUGAAAGCCUUCCGCUUAACGGAAGAACGGCAUCUGAUACUACAGGGCUUGAGUACGGGAGGGGAGAGUGGAACUUCUGGUGGAGCGGUGAAAUGCGUAGAUAUCAGAAGGAACGCCGGCGGCGAAAGCGACUCUCUGGUCCGAAACUGACGCUGAGUGUGCGAAAGCUAGGGGAGCAAACGGGAUUAGAUACCCCGGUAGUCCUAGCCGUAAACGAUGGGCACUAAGUAGAGGGGUUUU